GGGCCCAUGGUCUAGCGGCAUGACGUCUCGUUGACGUCGAGGAGGUCGCCGGUUCGAUAAUAAGGGUUGCACCCUUAUCAACCCGCGGCGGGCAAAAGCCUACCAAUACGAAAAUCCGGCUGGGCCCA
rnacentral:tRNA from 1 species